ACGGGUAUAGAUCAGUGGUAGACUGCAUGCUUAGCAUGCACAAGGUCCUAGGUUCAAUCCCCAGUACCUCUA
rnacentral:tRNA from 1 species